CCUGGUAUCUUAGAUGGUAAAGAAUCUGCCUGCAAUGCAGGAGACUGGGGUUCAGUCCCUCGGUCAGGA
rnacentral:tRNA from 1 species